GACAGAGGGUGCAAACGUUGUUCGGAAUUACUGGGCGUAAAGCGCGUGUAGGCGGCUAUGCAAGUCGGAUGUGAAAGCCCUCGGCUCAACCGGGGAAGUGCACCCGAAACUGCAAAGCUAGAGUCUCGGAGAGGAUCGUGGAAUUCUGUGUGGAGCGGUGAAAUGCGUUGAUCUACAGAGGAACACCAAAAAAGGCGAAGGCAGUCAACUAUUCUGUUCCUGACAUUGAGGCAUGAAAGCGUGGGGAGCAAACCGG
rnacentral:rRNA from 1 species